UACAUAAACUAUCCAAGAAAAUAAAGUUAAAAAGAAAAGGCAGAGGACAGUGAAAGAGCUACCUCUCGGAGAGUGAUCAGUUGGGUUUAAUCUGGACGGAGGACACCAAUGAGUCAAACACCCGAUGUGGCAGAGUGUGGAUGCCAGGCUGAUUGAACGAGACUUCCUUUUGGCUGCGAUUCUGGAGACAGGCUGAAGGUCAACUAAAGCGACCCAAGAGAGUGAGAGGAGAAAAAGGUGAGGCCAGACUAUGGAAGCCAGUUCCUGAGACUGUGGAGAGAGAGCUAUGGAGGUCCUUCAGCUGGCUGAUAGAUUGGGGAGAUGGGAGAGUAGAGGAGAAGCCGAUGGCUCAGGGAAACAGGAAGUGGGGAGGAGUCCACCCCAAUCACUGAGAAGACAGGUCCAGUGGGGUCCAGUACUGAAGCCCGAGAUACACUGAGGUGAGUCUAGGGGGCUGCUGGACUCGAUGGAAGGUGGGCAUGUGAGGUCCCUGACAAUCAAGACUGUCGACAGCACCCAGAACACAGGGAUCAGCCGUGAGAGGAAUGGAGAGAUCUUGGGGGUUGGGGAAAGAAAGAAAAUCAUGCCUAAUCCUUUAAGAGGAAAAGUCAAUGACCACAGAAACUGCUUAGAGUCACCUGGUCAGUGGUCAUCAACCUCAAAGAAAGGACAAGUUCCUUUUUUCUUAAGCCCUCAGGAGUACAGGUGCUGAAGUGAUCAACCCAACAAGAACAAAACAUUUAACCAGGCCUGGCGUUCUCCCCAGGUAAGGGCAGGAGCAGGACUCUGAAGGGAGGAGAGAGAGGUGGUGGAGGGUGAGGGAUCUGGCUCUAAAGAUCAUCGAUGGAUGUGUCAGUGGUGAUAAGAACUUGGGAACAACCGAAAGGUAGAGGGCUGAAGAGGGUGGGAAGACUCAGGCCAAGGUCUGAGGAGCUCAAGGGAGCAGACAAGUUGUCUCUGCAUACAUUAACUACAGGAGGGAAAACAUCCAAGAGAGGGAGGAAGAAAGAAAGGAAACAAAACAACAACCAAAAAAACCCAAAUACACAAAUAUGCCUGGGGGUUAUUCUAACAGACACACUAUACUUUAUAUACAAGAAGUUAUAGUAUCUUGCAUAUUUCUUAUGUAUUUUUCUUAGUAUAUAAUAAUAGCUCAAUAAUAUAUAUUUCCUAUAUAUUUCUAGGAGAUACACUAUAAUUUUUUCUUACCAACCACCACACACAUCACCUGAGAUCAGUUAUUCCAACACAGCUAAACAUUGUGCUCUUGCUGUUCACACAAAAAGCUAGGGGGACCCUGUGUAUCUAUGCUCUUGGGGCACUGGGAGCACUGGAGAAAAGUCGUGUUAUUCAUGCAGCCAAAUUGGUAAAACUUAUGCAAAGACCGAAUUACAGGUUUUAAGGUUUUUCUUCAGCUUUGCACUAGGUUGUUUCUCUGUCACUGUGGUGAACGCCCUGACAAAAUGUAAUUGGGAGAGGAAAGAGUUUACAUCACCUUAUAGGUUAUCAUCAGUCAUGAAAGGAAGUCAAGGUAGGAGCAUAGAGGCAGGAACUGAGGGAGAGGCUUUGGAGGAAAGGUUGGUCCGCCUGGCUUGCUCAGUCUGCUUUCUUAGGGACCUCAGCACCAGCUUCCCAGGGGAUGGCACCACCCACAGUGGGCUGGGCCGGGCCCUCCCACAUUAAUCAAGAAAAUACCUCCACAGACUUGCCUACAGGCCAAUCUGAUGAAGGUUAUUUCCUCAGUUGACCCUAAGUGUGUGUGUGUGUGUGUGUGUGUGUGUGUGUGUGUGUGUGUGUGUGUGUGUGUGUGUGUGUCUGUCCCCAUAUCCAGCACUGGCUUUAAAACAUGGUCAUGCCCGAGAAUGCAACUCCCCAACUACUAAAAGUUAAAUACAUAGGUCAUUGGCCUCCAGGUCCUAGGAAUGGCACAUCUAACUAUAACUAUGAAAAAGAAAGGCACUAAUAAUUCCUUCUAAGAAUGGGUAUGCUAGAACACAGCCAGCCGAGGAUAUGGCCAAGGAAGAUAACUGGAAUACCAUGGAACAUCAGAGGAGAGAUCUGGGGGUGCAGCCUAUGUAGACACACACACACACACACACACACACACACACACACACACACACACACACACACACACACACACACACACGUAUCAUAGGGAGGAGCUUGAAGGCUUGGGUGGAAGACGUCCACGCAGAAGCAAGACAUGAGAGGAAGAUGUCAGCGCAGAAGCAAAGCACCAUGCCCCGCCUCCGACAGCUGAAACAGGACCCAAUAACCCCUCACCCCUCCCAUCCCCCACCCCCGUUCACUUCUCUAGAUUCUAGUCCUGAAAGUCAUCCCGAGUUUCUAGUGACAUGGUUGGUGUGGUUAAGCCGUAAUAGCUGACAGCCACCUCUGAAAGUCAGUGGCUGGCAGAGAACCAUGACUGCUUGCCUUCUCCUCAGGUACUCGGGAGAGGCAGCAUGUCCCGGGCCAGGGAGCAGAGGGGCGGGGACUUCCGGCUUACCUUGGCAAAGGAAGAACAGGAAGUUUAGAGAAAGCAACUGACUUGCUGGUGGCUAGCGAGAGGACCCUUGUUAACAACUAGCUUAAAAUUAUAGGGUUCUUUUCAAGGAAAACAAACCAUGUAGUAGUCACUUUUCACAAGAAUCCUGAGUGACUAGCGACCUCUGAAGCCCCAGGAACCUCAGGACUUUCCUGCCGGGGCCUCUUCUUAGUAUGUUUGAACCCUGAAGAACACUGUCCUAGUCACAAAGCAAAAGCACUUAAUUCGGCUGUUGGAGGGGAAAACUGGCAAGUUCUAGAGGAGGAGAUUUCGGAUGUCUGAAACCCCCAAAAUGCCCUUGAGAGCAAGGGGCUGCAUCUUAGCACCUCUGCCUUCCAGUAGAGGAGGGGAGAAGGUGGAAGGCCCAGGGGAAGUGCAGCAUGCAGGUGCCGCUGGAAGAGACCACGGAGGUUCUGGCUGUUCUAAAACAACGUUGCUCAUAAGAAAUGCAACCUCUGUACUAGUUGGUUACCUCUUUCCAACCUAAUAAAAUUUGAGCCGAAA